rnacentral:rRNA from 1 species
UACGAAGGGGGCUAGCGUUGUUCGGAAUCACUGGGCGUAAAGGGCGCGUAGGCGGCCGAUCAAGUCGGGGUGAAAUCCUGGAGCUCAACUCCAGAACUGCCUUCGAUACUGGAGAGCUCGAGUCCGGGAGAGGUGGAGUGGAACUGCGAGUGUAGAGGUGAAAUUCGUAGAUAUUCGCAAGAACACCAGUGGCGAAGGCGGCUCACUGGCCCGGUACUGACGCUGAGGUGCGAAAGCGUGGGGAGCAAACAGG